CCUGCACGAUAAAAUGGAUUCAAGGAUAUAAAAAUUAGGCUUGUUUAUCAAAGAAAAUCACCCUCGCUAUCCAUGGUGUCAAAUGCUCAGAUGUAAAGCUUGUGGCAGAGGAGUUUGUAGCAUCGAUGGAGGGCAUGCGGGGAUCGAUCAUCUCCAGGACCAGUCAGGGUAGUGGCAAGUACUUGUUGGAUGGAUGUAUGGUCAAGA
rnacentral:lncRNA from 1 species